AGGCAGCGGCUGGGGCGCGCACAGCGGCUGCGGCUCCCCCGCACCUGCGGCCAUGGAUGAAGAGCGCGCCCUCUACAUCGUCCGGGCCGGCGAGGCGGGGGCUAUCGAGCGGGUCCUGAGAGAUUACAGCGACAAGCAUAGGGCUACUUUCAAAUUUGAAUCAGCAGAUGAAGAUAAAAGAAAGAAACUCUGUGAAGGCAUAUUUAAGGUCCUGGUAAAGGGUGUCCCAACAACAUGCCAAGUGCCCUGCCUGGAAGUUCUCCGCAUUCUCUCCAGAGACAAAAAGAUUUUAGCUCCUGUAACAACUGAGGAAAAUAUGCAAAUACUGCUGAGACUGGCCAAGCUCCAUGAGUCGGACGAUUCUUUGGAGAAGGUGUCAGAGUUCCCGGUCAUUGUGGAGUCAUUGAAAUGUCUUUGUAACAUCGUGUUCAACAGUCAGGUGGCACAGCAGCUUAGCCUGGAACUGAAUCUCGCUGCAAAGCUCUGUAACCUCCUGAGGAAGUGCAAGGACCGAAAAUUUAUCAAUGACAUAAAGUGCUUUGACCUGCGCUUGCUCUUUGUCCUGUCACUUUUGCACACUGACAUCAGGUCACAAUUGCGCUAUGAGCUCCAGGGACUGCCGCUGCUAACCCAGAUCUUGGAAAGUGCCUUUAGCAUCAAGUGGACCGAUGAGUAUGAGUCGGCCAUAGACCAUAGUGGACCUCCUCUCUCACCUCAGGAGACAGACUGUGCCAUUGAGGCCCUCAAAGCUCUGUUCAAUGUGACGGUAGACAGUUGGAAGGUGCAUAAAGAGAGCGAUUCUCAUCAGUUCCGUGUCAUGGCCGCUGUCCUUCGCCACUGUUUACUAAUUGUAGGUCCAACCGAAGACAAAACGGAAGAGCUGCACAGUAAUGCCGUCAACCUUUUAAGCAAUGUUCCAGUCUCUUGUUUGGAUGUUCUCAUUUGUCCAUUAACCCAUGAAGAAACAGCCCAGGAGGCAGCAACUCUAGACGAACUGCCCGGUGAUAAGACAGCAGAGAAAGACACGGCUUUGAAGAGCAGUGCCAUGGUAUACAAUGGCAUGAACAUGGAGGCCAUCCACGUUUUACUCAGUUUUAUGGAGAAGAGGAUUGAUAAGGGAAGCAGCUAUAGAGAGGGUCUAACUCCAGUUCUCAGCUUAUUAACAGAAUGUUCCCGAGCCCAUCGGAACAUCCGAAAAUUUCUCAAAGAUCAGGUGUUACCACCUUUGAGGGAUGUGACAAAUCGACCAGAAGUCGGCUCAACCGUGAGAAAUAAGCUGGUGCGCCUCAUGACACACGUUGACCUCGGAGUCAAGCAGAUUGCUGCUGAGUUCCUCUUCGUCCUUUGCAAAGAGCGAGUGGAUAGUCUGCUGAAGUACACUGGCUAUGGGAACGCUGCAGGACUGCUGGCUGCCAGGGGCCUCUUGGCUGGAGGAAGAGGAGACAAUUGGUACUCAGAGGACGAGGACACGGACACUGAGGAAUACAAAAACGCAAAACCAAACAUUAAUCUUAUCACUGGUCAUUUAGAGGAACCAAUGCCAAACCCUAUAGAUGAAAUGACAGAAGAACAAAAAGAAUAUGAAGCCAUGAAACUUGUCAACAUGCUUGAUAAACUCUCCAGACCCUGUCAUUAAUCCCAUGUGUCAGUACUGCCCUGUCUGCACAGAGCAGACGAGAAAGAAGAGCCCGCCCUUGAAAACAAACAAGGGAAUGCUUUUUGAGUCGUUACCAAGCUAAGUGGCAAGCGGGAAGCUGAAACUCGUAUAGUUGAACAUUCUUGGAGGCUUAUCUCUUCCCUGGCCAGAUGCCUGAUCAGAUGAGAAGCCCGCCAUGAUACUGUCACAGUGCCUAGAAUGGGCUCUUUAUCCAGUAGACAUCACUGUACUUUUUGGUGAUAACGGGGGCAGUCUUAACUGUGUUAAGGCCUGUAUAUAGCAUUGAAGGUAAGUAUGAAGCAGUUGUUGCUAUGUGAAUAUCUUACUCCUGAUACAUAUUUCCACCAAGAUGUUUAUUGGAUACCCGGCCAUCAUUUUUUAGAGAGAAUCUUGAUAAAUUUGGGGCCAGUGGUAACUCUUCAUAGAAUGGCUCACUGAAGGCCACCAUGCCAUCUGGACCCUGAGUUCGGAACUUGCUGUUGCUUCAGUAAUCAAUUAGUCACCUACCAGCAGAUUGCAGGACAGGUUUGUGGUCAUGCUGUCUGUCAGUGACAGGCAAGUGCCGUAUUGACCAUUAGGUUUAGAAUAUCUUGACAAGGAAGAAAGGAUUAGGAUAGUGAUUUUGAGUAUCUUAAAAACCCCAGUAGCUUUUUAAGUGAUUCAAAAUUAUUUAGUAACCUGACACUUAUUCUUAAAAUUAGUAUAGACUAUUGUGGGUCAUCCUGUCCAGCCCCUCAUUUUGCAGCUCUCAGAGGCAAGUGGCUUGCCCAAGGACUUGUAACAGCCUAGCAGAUCCGAAACUGAGUCUGUACCAAAUGGGGGUUGACUCUUGCUGGGCCAUCAGCAUCAUCUGAUGAUGGUGACUCGUCGUGAAAGCUGGUACAGCCCAGAGAACCUCUUGAUACACAGUCCUCUGCCACUCUCCCUUCAGGCCAUUGCCAUGUACUUGUCCUUUCAGCAAACCUUUACAAAGCACCUACUGUGUGCUCUGUCCUAGAUGAAAACCACAACCUGAGAAGACAGGGAUGUCUGCCCUCAAGAUGAGCACAGUCCAGCAGAGAGCAAGCAGUCCUUGGAAAGCAUUCAUUAGGAACUCCUGUGGAUUAGUAAUGCUUUCCCUAUUCUGUAACACAAUCUCCUGUGGACUAAUAAUUCUUUCUUGAUCCUAUAGCAGGGUUUCCUGAAGAUUAGAAAUCCUUUCCUGAAUCUGUACAUCUUGAUGGAAACAAAUCUGCCCUCAGGUUUAGCCAGUCUUGUUCAUGGCUUAGUCGUGAGGGGCCUCCAGAUCGUGAUUUCUGUAAGAAGAGCAGCCAAAUGUAGUUCAUGUGCCUAACUGAGGCUCUGCUCUCUAAGGCACUGUGCUAAGGAAAACACAGGACAGACUUCCCUUCAGUGCAGUAUUGUUUGUAGCUUUCAAAGUUUAUAGUAGUGCUUAUUUUUAAUAAAUACUCUUAAAUAUAGAAGAUGGCUCUUGAAAAAGGAGACAAAAAUACCUUCGGACUCAAUCCAGCUCACCAGCCUUAGAGCCCAGGUUUUUAGCUCCCUUCAUGCCUUAUAGCACUUUUGAGCUUUCUUUUUCCUUCUCCUCAGCUGCGCCAACCUGCUUACCAGUCCCGCACAUAACUAAUUCUUGCUUCUGUGCCUCUGCUUGACUAAAUCUGCCUCUGGGAUGGCUCUCCCCUGUGACACUGUGUCUUUCACUGCCAUUAAUUAGUGUGGCCCCAAGUCUGCCUCCUGCAAGGAGCCUGUAGUGGUGUCUUUUCCUCCUGUGUCCCUCCCGCUUUGUGCAUCGCCAUCCAAUGGUGAGGGAACGUGACUGUGGUGUUGAUGAGAAGGUUCUGGUUCUCGGUGCAUACCUUACUGGCGUGAACAGGAAGAGCUGAGAGUGAACCUGACAGAUAACCAGAGUGAGUCUCUAGAGCAAAGGUCUUGGUGUUUGUAAGUCAUUAGUGUUAGGAUUGAGAAGAAAAGGAAAUUAGACUGACAGUGUGAGAAGCAAGCCAGGGUUGAUGGGUAAAACAGUCACACGAUAGCAAAUGAUGCGUUCCUGCUCCCACACAGGACAAGAAAUCUCCUUGGACAAAUAGUACAUACAGGCGGCCGUAGGCCCAGGGACAGCAGGCACUGCUUGUUGGUCGUCUUCAGCUUGUCCAUCUGCUCUUCUGUAAUUCUUUCAAUGGUGUGUGUGUGUGUGUGUGUGUGUGUGUGUGUGUGUGUGUGUGUGUGUGUGUUCCAAACUGACUGAAGCUUCUUAAGGGCAGGGACCAUUCCUCCUCCCCCACCAUUCUAUCAGGAAGGGGAGGCUUUCUGUGAACACACAGGGAAAAGAGCACAGCUUGUGGCUUCCAGUUAUAGCCCAGCUUCCACACACUGUGUAGUCUGUAGUCUGUGCUUUCACGUUCGCUUAAUGAGGUGAGUGUCCUGUCCAGUCUUACAGAAAAUAAAAUCCAAAUUUAGAGUUUUCAAGGUCUUCUAGUUAAUGAGCUGUAGUUGUAGAAUUAAAACCCAGGUCUGGCUUCAAAGCCGCCGUGUACCUUUCACUCCUCACAGUAAACGCUUGAGUCUCUGCAGUGCGCAGAGCCCUUUGCUCUGUACUGUUGCUGUUGCUGCCACUGCUGUGCUAGGACUUCUUAUGUCAUCACUGGGAAGUAGGCAGAGCUGGUAUUACCAUGACCCCAUUUCACAGAUGGGGAAAGUAAGACUCAGAGACAUGCCCAGAUCACACAGCUGGUAAGUGGAAGAACCUGGACUUUAGACAGCCUAACUUACGGUCUUUCUGCUCUUCACACAGCAUCACAUUACUGUCUGAAUUUAUUUGCAUGAAUGCAUGAUUUUGUGGCCAAGUUUCAGCGAUGCCCUCCCUACAGAAGUGUCAGUAUGCGUAAGCAUUGCAUGGGGCCACCUGGAAAAGAAAGUAACCCGUGCUGUCCAAGGAGCUUCCAUCCUAAGGGAGGAGAGAGACAGGGUGUCCUCCAAAAUGCUUGAGAAUAGUUCAUAUGUGAGCAUUAAAAGAUGGUGACCUUUGUUCUAUAAACUAACUCUUGUAGUUUGAUCACAAAACUGUGUCUUAAUUGUUCCUGAUUAUAAAGUUGGACUGAAGGGUAGUGAUAAAGGUAACAAAGUUGAUUUGGAAAUUUUCUUCCUGGGUUUGUGUAGGAAGUAGCUGGGUAGUUGUUCACACUGGCAGCUACGCCCCGGUGCUGGCUGUUACUGGGGAAGUAUAAUGGUUAGUGCUGGCAGGGAUGGUUGUCUGCCAGGCAGUCUGUCCACACUGUUCCGUAGGCCCUUGCCUCCCCUGUGCUUCUCCUCACCGUCCAGCCCUCCCUUCCCUCACUGCCUGCAGUUACCAACACCUUUAACCCAGCUCAUUGGGUGUUCAAAGUUCUGUGUUUCAGCUUGGAUGGCUUGGGUUGGGUUUGGGUUUCUGACCUUUGGAGGCAGGCUCUUGUGUUUACAGACUGUACCACCGCUUCUAACCUUUAGACCUAGAGUUGUCUUACCCUGCAGUGUGCCAUUUCCAGCAAGUCGCCCCCUUCCUUCACAUCAGCUGUUGGUAUUCAGUAUUGCAGGUUCACAUCACAGGCAGAACUAGAGCACAUGGACUCCACACUGGCCCAGGUCAUAGCAAGGCUGCAGAGUUGCAGAUGGCUGUCACUGCUUUUCUAUGUGCUUGCCACAGAGGCAGCUCAAGCUCUCUGUGUCCUGGAAAAUGGUGCAGACUCUUUCCUGUCUUCUGACUCCUGUAGGUAGUGCCAUGUCCUUAGUAUCCACCUGGAGCCAGAGGGACACUCACUCUCUACACGUUACAGUGACUUCCUAAUGCCUUCCCUGUCUGCCACCUAUUCCAGUGUGUCUGGCAUACCACUCGCAGAGGGUGUGAACCAGUAGGCAUUGUACAGGGUAGAUGCUAAGCUCCUUCCUUACAAACUACCCUUUACCUCUUGCCCCUCACUUCUUCCUUGAACCUCUACUCCCUAAAUACUGGUCCCUUGUCCAGCCUCACAAGAACACUAAGCAGAAAAGGUGAACUGAUACAGUCACACAAGAUGGUGGGACCUGACUCAUGGUGAGGGAUCUCUCAUCUGUGGUGCCUUCUCUGCCUCCCUCAGGUAGUGUGACGUGCUUCCUCUCAGGAGCCACAGGGUUUCAUUUACAGUUCUCUCAGGAACUUUUCCCCAUCUGUUGCCCAAGUCCUCUUGGGUCUGCUUAUUACCCAUUCAUCAAGGACAGCAGCUGCACCCUGUCCUUCCUCUUCUGCCCAGCAAGUGGCAGCUCCUUUCACAUAGUUGCUGGGCAGUGAGCUCAGCUGCUUCCCAUGCAGUCAGAACAGUCAGUUGAGAUGGGACUUACUGCAGAGAGCGCUGGACUGGGAUUUGGGAGAGCCGUCCCAGGCCCAGCUCCACCACUGAGUGGCCUUGGGUAAGUCACUCUGCCUCCUUUUAAAGAAGUGGGUUGGACUAACUGAUCUCCAAGGUGCCUUCAGCUUUAAGCUGUCUCAUGUGAUCCCAUUGCUUACAUAUAACAUGCAGGAGCCCCAGUUUAGCCAGCCAGCCAGUCUUCACAUUUCCCUAAUAGACUCUGGCCUCAGAAGUCACCCCUGGUGCUAAGGAGCAAGGGCUACUUGCUUAGGCUCCUGUCGCUGUAACCCAGUCACGAGCUGAACUCACCUCCCCAGGGUUUGCUGUGCUGUCACAGUUGUAUGGCUGCCCUUUCUCAGGAGGUGACCCUUCUUUGUGUUACUUGAAAAGACAGUAGCAAGAAGCAGAGGGGAGUAAGUGCCAUGUUCCCCUCACCCCACAGCCCACCAUUACACUGCCUCAUGUUCUCGGGCAGUGGUACCCAUCUCCAUGAGAAAUGGGUGGCAGCGGCUCCUGAGCCCUUGCUGGUCCUCUUAGGCACGCUGAGCCUGUUGGGAGUGGAAGGCCUGGUGCUAGCCACUCAAUAGGGACAGUCGCCACGGUCUCCAUGUAGUAAGUAAGGCCUAUGAAGAGGUUAAGUCAGUCUUUCCUGGUGCUUUUUGAUUGGCUUAAUCAAUUAUUACUCAUCUUAGAUGGGGCUGUAACUUGUGGAGUGGAUACAAUUGGAUUAGGUGAAGAGAGACAGUUGGGGAGCUUUGAAGAGAUUAAAAUGGCUGCCGAUCCCAUAAUUAAACUGCCACAAACAAAAGCAAUGGUGUUUUAAACAAAAACAAGGAAAGAAAGAGAAAGAAAGAAAACUUGGGGAAUCCAACGGAUUUGAAAUGAACCAACAAGUGUUUGUGAGUCUGAGAUGGAGGAAGCGACCCAAACCUGACUAAUCGAUUCCAUGAAAGAAACCUGCCUUUAACUCUGGGGCGAGCAGGUGAGACUCUGGGGCUUGAGCUUCUCUAAAACAAAACAAAUGCACAAGCGGUAAAUAAAGUUCAUUAUUCAGACCCCAAGAGAUCUGCUCCUUGUCCUGGGCGCAUUUGGGCCUUGACUUCUCCUCCUCUAAUUGGCUUAGGUUUGGCUUGUGUGAGUGAAGCCUUUCAUGUCCCUCUCUCUCCGUGCCCUUUCAUCUUUCUAUUGCAAACACACAGAGAGCUUGAGAGGAAAUACUUGGUUUUUAAAGACUUCUCUUUUUAAAAGGCUGUGGGCUUGGGUGGGGGAGGGAAUGCGUGUGAUGCUGGUGAAUACUUUUUUUUUCUCUUUCUUUUAUCUCUUUUUCCAGAGAGGAGUUGCUUAAACCAAUGGGACUAAAACCUGACGGGACAAUAACGCCUUUGGAGGAAGCGCUCAGCCAGUAUUCUGUCAUCGAAGAGACCAGCUCGGACACAGACUGAAAGCGCCGUCACCUGCUCCCUCUCAAUAUGGCUUUUAUCAGCAUCUUUUCUCUGUAGCUCCAGGGGAAUCUUCUCUAGAACGUUUAUGCCCUCGCUUUGGCUAGAAACACAUUAACUGGUUUACUCAUCGGGAAUCCAGCAUAUUUAAGAGGUAAUCCUGUGUUUUCUGCAACAUUGAGGCAUUCGUACAGAGCUGCAGUCAGGCAGAGUUGCGGGGCUAGAAGCAGAAGCUGCCAUCCCAUUGCACCAGGACGGAGGAUGGGACUUCACUUGGCAAAGCAGCCCUGGUCAAAUCUGGCAGUCCUAUUGCCGGGAAUUCCUAGCCGAAGAUUCGGCCGUGUCCUUCCACCCAUCGUAUAAACCGCCCCUCUGAGUCUCUCCAGCGACCCAAGGCACAGGAGAGUCCGAGGAGCUGCUAAACAAGGGCUGAGGCAAGCAACUCCUUAGGUCAGCGCUGACUGAAUGGAAGCCAGGCAGCUGCUCCGAAAGCCUAGCCCCACCCUUCAUUUCAGUUUUAUACAAAUGUGGAAACACACACAUACACGCACGCAUACGCGCGCGCGCGCGCACACACACACACACACACACACACACACACACACACACACACACACACACACACACACACACACACACACACGGCCCCAGACUUACAAACCUAUUAAGCUCUCACAGUUGGUUACUUAGCUAACACUUGAGAUUACAUUUCUCCCUAGGAGGAGUUAGCAGUGAUGGGUUAGUUCAGGCAGCUCCACGUGCCUAUUUACCCCUCGAUCCUGAACACUACUAGAACCGUAGGGCUGGACCACACCUGUACCGCUGCGUCCACAGCGUGCAUUCUGAGAUACCACUCAGGGUGCCAAGUUCACACUCAUCCUCAGGCAACAGAGAGGAUGGGGCUCCCCGAGUAGUGGGAGUUCUUUUGUGGCCUGUGCUGGGGCAGGGAGCCAACAGCACCCAUUUGUACAUACAGGUCAUUCGUGUGUCACAUGUUCUAAACAGGGGUCUCUGUGUGUAUUUGUGUGUGUGUUCUACCUUUCUACCAUAUGUGAUCAGUUUAAUGGUAACUUUAUUUAUUUAAAAAAAAAGAAACACAGAUAGUUACUAUUGAACUGAUUAAGGCUGUGUAUUUGUACUCCUAGGAAUGGUCAUAUGAAGUAGAUGUGCAAUCAUGUAGACAGCAGGCCAAGGUGAUCAGUGGCUAAGGUUGGAAAGGGGUUGGUUUCUCUCAUAUAUGUAUGUAUGUGUGUGUAGAUGCGCAUACAUAGGUAUAUGCACACAUAGAUUAUGUGCUUGGCCACUGCCUUUUAAAACUUUAAAUUAAAUAAAACGUUGGGGAUGAUUCAAUUUA